rnacentral:ncRNA from 1 species
GAUAGAGGUCGCGGAAACGAAGAGUAUCUUGCAGCACACGCCGGCAGGCGGCCGCAGGGGAAAGGCAAUUCCGCCGAAGCACCGCAUGGCUGCCGCUGUGCCGCUGCUGGGCCGACGCCCAAUAAGCGCCGGACGUCACAGUUACUGUGGAGAGCUAUCA